AAAGCACCUUACAAUCCGUAAGCUUUAUAACAGCUGACUGCAGAUUCAAGCACGGACACACCACGGCCUUCUGCACCCUCAGCACUUCCAUUAACCACCCACGCAGAUGUAUUGCCAUUUAGAGUAGCUUUUUGAAGAGUGACAAAACCAACUUGACAAAAUGUGAUGGAAUCUCGACUCAAAGUUGAAGUGUUUUCAGUUGACUAAAAGGCAGAGUGUCCUGACUGUGGAAAUUACAAAACCAAGACCGUAAGUUCCGUGAGGUCAAGACUGUGCCUGUCUUAUUCACUGCUAUAUCCCUGCCCCUCUGAUGGUAGCUGACAUGCAGGUGCACUACGUAAGUAUAUGCUACAUUAACGAAUAAGUGAAUGGGUAGAAUGAAACAGACUCCAGGGUAAGCAGACUUGCUCAGUAGAACACUCCCUCGGAAGGCAGGGAAUUGGGUCAGAUAAUCAUCUGAACUUCAUUCUCUCUUCUACUCUGAAU